CCUACGGGAGGCAGCAGUGGGGAAUAUUGGACAAUGGGCGAAAGCCUGAUCCAGCAAUGCCGCGUGAGUGAUGAAGGCCUUAGGGUUGUAAAGCUCUUUUACCAGGGAUGAUAAUGACAGUACCUGGAGAAUAAGCUCCGGCUAACUCCGUGCCAGCAGCCGCGGUAAUACGGAGGGAGCUAGCGUUGUUCGGAAUUACUGGGCGUAAAGCGUACGUAGGCGGUUAUUCAAGUCAGAGGUGAAAGCCUGGAGCUCAACUCCAGAACUGCCUUUGAAACUAGAUAGCUAGAAUCUUGGAGAGGUGAGUGGAAUUCCGAGUGUAGAGGUGAAAUUCGUAGAUAUUCGGAAGAACACCAGUGGCGAAGGCGACUCACUGGACAAGUAUUGACGCUGAGGUACGAAAGCGUGGGGAGCAAACAGGAUUAGAUACCCUGGUAGUCCACGCCGUAAACGAUGAUAACUAGCUGUUCGGGCUCUACGAGCUUGAGUGGCGCAGCUAACGCAUUAAGUUAUCCGCCUGGGGAUACGGUCGCAAGAUUAAAACUCAAAAGGAAUUGACGGCUGAGACGUAGCGAGACGACGACGAGGGAGGAG
rnacentral:rRNA from 1 species